GAUGAACGCUGGCGGCGUGCCUAAUACAUGCAAGUCGAGCGAACGGACGAGAAGCUUGCUUCUCUGAUGUUAGCGGCGGACGGGUGAGUAACACGUGGAUAACCUACCUAUAAGACUGGGAUAACUUCGGGAAACCGGAGCUAAUACCGGAUAAUAUUUUGAACCGCAUGGUUCAAAAGUGAAAGACGGUCUUGCUGUCACUUAUAGAUGGAUCCGCGCUGCAUUAGCUAGUUGGUAAGGUAACGGCUUACCAAGGCAACGAUGCAUAGCCGACCUGAGAGGGUGAUCGGCCACACUGGAACUGAGACACGGUCCAGACUCCUACGGGAGGCAGCAGUAGGGAAUCUUCCGCAAUGGGCGAAAGCCUGACGGAGCAACGCCGCGUGAGUGAUGAAGGUCUUCGGAUCGUAAAACUCUGUUAUUAGGGAAGAACAUAUGUGUAAGUAACUGCGCACAUCUUGACGGUACCUAAUCAGAAAGCCACGGCUAACUACGCG
rnacentral:rRNA from 1 species